ensembl:lncRNA
CGAGCCUUCUCCCGGUGCCGAGCCGGCCAGGCACCGCAUCCCCUUGCGUCCCGCUGACCUGUCAGUCCACCUCACGGUUGGAGCCUGCGGGAGCUGAGCGGGGACUCCUCGGCACCCCUUCCCCGCUCAGGCCCGGGAGCCCGCGUGUCGGGCCGUCAGUCGGUCCCUAUGCCGCGCCGAGGGACAUGGCCUUCAUUUGGUCUGAUUUUCUGAGUCUCUCAAACUGCUGCUGCAGGGUCCUUGGAGACAGCUCGUUUCUCCUGGAAGAAUCGCCAAAGUCAGCUUCAGCAGCUCACAAACGUCUUCAUUGCUCUGAGCACAGCGCUAGGCAUAGAAUUGGAUUCAGCUGAUACUUGCCACCUGGCUUAGAGAACAAGGACUCCAGCUCCAGCCCCAGCUGCGGCACCUGCUAGUUCUGUGACCUAGGGUAAUAAUUCCCUUAAUCCUUGCAACUGUCUGAAGAGGUAGGAGAUGUUAUGGUCCCCGUGACAGAGAUGAGGAAACCAGCACACAGCCGGCUGAACUAACUUGUCAGAGAAUGAGUGAUGGACCCAGGGUUCAGAUCCAAGCAGUCUGCCUCCAGGACCAGGCUCUCACUGUGGCUGCCUCUCCGGGACUCCUGCCUCUUCUCCGUGGAAGGUCCCGCAAGCUGACAGACAGCGUCCUUCACUUUUUUGUGUCUAUGUGGUUUGCUGCUUGUGGAAUCUCAGGCUGAGGCGCCUGCAGUCAGAGAACUAAAGACAUUCUGGAGCUGGGAGGAGCAGCCUUCCUUGCCUGCAGUUUCUUUGCUGGGAAGGCAGAGGAAGCCAGGAGAGGCCCGUCACAAUGGACUUCACCACUUCAUCGGCCCAGGUCGCGAUGCGGAAGCACCGAGAAUCAUCGGAGCUGGAAAGUAUAGUCCCCUGGUGUGCUAGGAAAGAAGAGGAGAAGGCCUUUUGGCCUCUGCCACGUCUCUUGACUUGGACACCUUCCCACUGCUGCUGACAGCAAUCAGACACCUGCUCCCUGAGCCCAUGGCAGCCAGCAUGCCUCUUCUACAGCACUCGCCACCCUCUCUCAGUUCCCUGCAGGUAGAAGGGCUUAGGAGCUCUCCUCCUGGAGCCUCACCACCGGGCCCCAGACCACCUGGGGCUCUGGAACAUUCCAUUCUUUUGGUGCAGAGCUGCGCAGGGUGCAUCUGGACUGAACUGUUUCCACCAGCUGUGGCGAGAGAAGGACAAACACUGACAGUGUUUAAAAACUUUGAUGUUGCUGUGACAUCCAAGCACAUAUGGUGUUUUAUCAUUUUUUCCCCAUUUCACUUUUCUAUUGUCAGUCUGUGAUGGACCAAGAAAAAAUAAAAACCAACCAGUCCUUCAUCACAGAUGGUUCGAGAAGCAUCAGUAUGGUAGCUAUGGAGUCAGAAAAGCUGGGCUUUAUGGCAGCUCCAUCUCUUGCUAGCUGGUUGACCGUAAUUAAAUUGCAUCAUCUCUCUGUGCCUUGGUGCCUUCACCUAUGAAAUGGGCAUAACAGUGCCCACCUGUGACGGCUGUGGGAUGUCAGUGAGGG